rnacentral:siRNA from 1 species
UUGUGAUCAAUCGACGAGAUACAA